UGAUUUAUGCCCAAUGCUUAGCAUGUCAAAGUGAACAAAUUCAACCAAGCACGGGUAAAUGAUGGGAGUAAAUAUGACUCUCUUAAGGUAGUCAGGGGCCUCGUCAUAUAAUUAGUGAUGCACAUGAAUGUAUUAAUGAGAUUCCCAUUGUACCAAGCUACUAUCUAGAGAAACCAAAGCCAAGGGAACGAGCUUGGAAAAAUUAGCGGGGAAAGAAUGCCCUGUUGAGCUUGACUCUAGUCCGACUUUGUGAAAUGACUUGAGAGGUGUAGAAUAAGUGGGAGUCGUUUUCAAUGCAAGUAAAAUACCACUACUUUUAAUGUUAUUUUACUUAUUUCGUGGGGCAGAGAUGAUGCAUUGCACAUAUGUUAAAAUAUAAUGCACAUUUCCCCAAAGUGUUGUCAAUGUUGGCAAUGGUCGAAUGCUCAUUCUUCACACACUUGAUGGAAAUGAGUUUAGGAAACCAAAGAGGAUCAUUAAUUUUAAGGAUGAAGAAAGUUCCUAUAACAUCCCCCUAUAAGUAUCUAUGUUAUGGUUCCUCCUUGUAAAUUGGU
rnacentral:ncRNA from 1 species